rnacentral:rRNA from 1 species
UACGUAGGGUGCAAGCGUUAAUCGGAAUUACUGGGCGUAAAGCGUGCGCAGGCGGCCAUGCAAGACAGAUGUGAAAUCCCCGGGCUCAACCUGGGAAUUGCAUUUGUGACUGCAUGGCUAGAGUACGGUAGAGGGGGGUAGAAUUCCGCGUGUAGCGGUGAAAUGCGUAGAUAUGUGGAGGAAUACCGAUGGCGAAGGCAGUCCCUUGGGCAUGUACUGACGCUCAUGUGCGAAAGCGUGGGGAGCAAACAGG